rnacentral:rRNA from 1 species
GAUGAACGCUGGCGGCGUGCCUAAUACAUGCAAGUCGAGCGAACGGACGAGAAGCUUGCUUCUCUGAUGUUAGCGGCGGACGGGUGAGUAACACGUGGAUAACCUACCUAUAAGACUGGGAUAACUUCGGGAAACCGGAGCUAAUACCGGAUAAUAUUUUGAACCGCAUGGUUCAACAGUGAAAGACGGUCUUGCUGUCCCUUAUAGAUGGAUCCGCGCUGCAUUAGCUAGUUGGUAAGGUAACGGCUUACCAAGGCAACGAUGCAUAGCCGACCUGAGAGGGUGAUCGGCCACACUGGAACUGAGACACGGUCCAGACUCCUACGGGAGGCAGCAGUAGGGAAUCUUCCGCAAUGGGCGAAAGCCUGACGGAGCAACGCCGCGUGAGUGAUGAAGGUCUUCGGAUCGUAAAACUCUGUUAUUAGGGAAGAACAGAUGUGGAAGUAACUGUGCACAUCUUGACGGUACCUAAUCAGAAAGCAACGGCUAACUACGUG